AUCUAAUUUUCGUUAACCAAUGCAGACAAUUAAAACAAUGUGAAAAGCAAUUUUUCAAAAUAAGCUAAAUACAAAGCAAAUUUACCGUCAUUUGUCCAAAAAAAUAUAAAAAGUCGCCGUUAUGUGGACUUAUCUCGCAGACUUCGGCUGAAAAGCCACCCAAAAAUGGCGGCGUGAGAAAGGCGAAUUGGACUCCUCUUUUAAAGCGACACAUCGGCACAGAAUAGGUUACACAGAAGGCUGACUUCUUGGUUUUUCCUAUGAUUUUCCAAUGAUUUUGGCGUAACCGUAAUUCGUCAUCAAAAUGCUGACGCCAUGGUCCUGGCCAGUGCGCGUUUGAGAGGCAUUCACCCCCCUGAUAAUAUUCAAAAUGUGAACGUCCAGGGGGGAUGCCUCUCAUAAGCGCACUGGCUAGGACUAUGGCGUCAGUAUUUUCAUGACGAAUCAUGGCGUGGCAGCGGUAACUCGAGGUGCCUUCUGUAUGUCUUUAUCCUGGGACAUCGGUGAGGUCCCAAAUGUGUCCGCUUGAUGGGGGGUUCUAAUGUAUUAACCCAAACAGUUUAAUUUACUACUGCCAGGGACGUGCCGACCGAUAUGUCUUGG